GAGACAGGGUGUUGCUCACCAUAACGUUGAACUCCUGACUUCAAGUGAUGCUCCCAUCUUAGCCUCCUGAAUGGCUAGGCUUACAGACAUACCCCACCAUGACAAACUAAUUUUUUUUCUUUGUAGAAACAGGGGUCUGAACUGUCCAGGCUGGUCUUGAACUCCUGGCCUCAAGUGAUCCUCCUACCUGGGCUUCCCAAAGUGCUGGGAUUAUACGCAUGAGCCACUGCACCAAGCCUACUAGUUGUUUUUCACACAUCUUGGUUUUAACCUCUAACUUUAUUAUUUUUAUCUCUCUUACUAUAUUUUCCUUUGUCGUUUUGUUUUAUUUUACUUUCUGGGAAACUGCCUCAACUUUAUUUUUCAAACUUUCUAUUUAAUUUUUUAUAUCCUGUAUCCUUUUUAUAAUUUCUAAGCAUUAUCUGUUCCAUAAUUGACCCUUUUUAUGUGUCUUGUUUAACAGAUGGAAUACUUUCUCAUAUCUCUCUCAGGAUAUUGAUUCGUUUCUUUGACGUUUUCCUCUCUUCCCAGCUAAUAUACAAGUGAACCAGUGACCUGCAGUUCUGCCUGCACAGGGAUAAUGACCAGUCAGAUUCUCUCUUUUCAAGAUGCUUAACAUAACAGAUGCCAAGAAAGGGAAAAGGAGCUGACAGCAGAGGGGGAAGCUGAAAAGACAUACAAAGAAUGGCCAUAAAAGAUAUGAGUAUGUUGAGUGAUGAGUGAUCAGAAACUACGAGUGAUGUGGUACAGGUGUUUGCAGAAGAACAGGAAAGCCGUGAUCAGGUUGGCUAUCAGUGAGGUCCUGUUAGAGAAGGGGCUGUCUAGGCCUGAGUCCUAAAGCUUUGUUAGUGAUGUCAGAAGUCACGGUCCCAGCUUCAAAGGCCUCAGUUGUCUGAUUAUUUCUGGAUCCCCAUGAAAAGCCCAUGACUCCUGUUUUAUUCUCACUGCACACCCCUGCCUGUGAUGACCCUGAGACACUCCAUGCCUUGUAACCCAGUGGCAAUAUCAUCAGGGUGGGAGCUGGCUGGCUGCUCAGAUGCCCCCCAAGCAGAGUCUCAUCAUAAGCACCAUGUUUAGGUCUCACCUUUCUGCAAUGUUUGAAUUCACACAAAGACACAGUUUCAAAAAAUGAACAUUAUUUCACAACUCUAGAUCUUCCCAAUUACAGGACUAUUCACACUUCCUAAUCAGGGCUCCCUUCCCACAUUAGGACAGGCAGGGGGUCUCCAGCAAGGCCGGCGUUAGGGUGGAGGUGGCUAUGCAGCCCCUGGAGUAUUUGCUGCUCUAGGCCAGCGCACCCUGCCUCUGCCUGCCCAGCAGCAGAGCCCCUCUCCAGGGAUUAUUCAGGUCCUGCUGGGAGGAACAAACACCAAGUCACUGGACCUUUCCCCUUCAGACAUGUUUGAAGGACUUCCUAAGUCCCCGUCAGCAACACAUGUACAAACUGUCUCUUGGAGAAGGUACCUUCUACAGAGAGGCACACCCAUCAGAUUCGCAGAAGGUGAGCUGAUUUUCAGAUUACAGUAGCUCCCUAGGUACCAGAAGAGCCCAGGUGAGAUCUGACGAAAUGGUUCUAGCUUCUCUAUCCACCUGCCCUCCAAGGAGCUGAAGACUUCAGGCUGAGGAGCGCCGGCUGAAAUGGCCGGAAGACGGUACUGAAAGGGAAGCAAGGCUUGGCCUCUUAGCAGGGGAGCAGACCGGGUAGUAAGCCGAAGCCACUCUAGGUGUGAAGAAAGAGCCGCAGGCAAGAAGAGCAUGGGACUCAGCUCCCAGAGUCAGAGAUACUGCUUGGCCAGCCCAGGUGACAGUGCUAGGGUAUAGUAGCUGAGUGCAGACCAAAAGGUCUUGUUUCCAGUCCAAGCACCCUUUGUCUGGGCUUGCAUUUAAUCAGCAAAGACGGUUCUGCACUUCUCAGUUCUUUGACCCAGGAAGCCUGGUCCUGAAUCUGUAAAGUCUGUAAAUAAAACUGCAGUUAACUUUGAACAUCACAGGUUUGAACUGUGGACCCACUUAACACAGAGGUGGUCUUCUGCCUUUGCUGCCCCAAGACAGUAAGUCCAGCCCCGCCUCUCCCUCUUCUUCUUCAGCCUACUCAGUGAAGAUGACAAAGAAUAGGACCUCUAUGAUGAUCCACUUCCACUUAUUCUAUAGCUCCCCAUCCCCACGCACUCCAGGGCCCACUCUUGAUGCUGGACAGUGCUGAGGCUCCUCCCUCCUGCAUGGCUCCUGCCUGUAGCUAUGCAAGAGCAAGGCCAGGCUUCCUACAUGAGGCUCCAACUUCCUUCCUCACUCUUCAAAACUUGCAAAGAAAUUGAUUUGCCCCUUAGAAGCUGUUGUUACUUUUGAGUCUAUGGAGAGACUAAAUGCAGUGAGCCCAGCAGAGCAUGCUGGGCAACAGAGGUCCUGAGUGCCAAAUCAGAAUUUCAAGUGGUACAAAAUGAGGCAGUAAACCUGCACGUGGAGGUCUGAUACCGCUUGCAGAAGUGAAUUGAACAGAUGUCUCUCUUUUGGUAAGGAUGUGGUUUUAUUGACUUGAAAUAAGAAUGUUCUCGAGCAACAGCCAGUCACCCAUGGGAUGCUGCCACAAGGAAUAAUUGAGCACUGACUCAGACACAGGGGAAACCACUGCCUCAGACACAGGGGAAACCACUGCCUCUGCCAGUCUUUCUCCCAGAUUCCAACAGUCAGCGUUAAGCAUUUCACCUUGUUCACCUCCCUGAGAAGACGUUGCAGCUCACUUGCCCCAGUGGGCACUGGGAGGCUCUGCUCGGGUGGGAAACAUGCCCCCCAACAUGCACAUCUGGUGAUUCCCUUAUGAAGCAGAUAGUGGGGUCCACACAUGAACACAAGGGGCAGGGAAGUAGCCCCAGGGCAUAGUGUGGAGCCUCCUAUGAGAAAACAGGGAUUAGGGAGGGGCAAGGAAGAGGAGUUGGCCAACGGGUGGCAGGUGGCCAUCUAGAUGGUCAUGAUGGGUGAGGGGUCUGGCAUCUCACUUUUCAAAUGUGGGGAUCUGGUAAAUUUCAGUUUCUUGAUACUAUCUGGGAAGACUGCUGGUAGGUUUCCUGAGAAAGGAGCUCAGAUAACACAAAUGUAAAUUUUGCCUUGGAUUUCAAGAAGGGGAGGGUCAAUUUCUAGGUUUAUUCAAGAAAAACCAUAAACCUCAGUUCUAUGGGGCAGUUAGGCCUGUUUCAAGGCUCUGAGGUUAAGGAUUAAUGAGGGGACAGAGUCGCCUGGAGAAGUUCACUGGGGCCUACAAGAAACUACAGAGGCUUUCUGGCAAAGCUCUCUGCUGUCUAUUCUCUCUUCUUUCCUUGCAGGAAGAAUGCAACACUGUUCCAGACCCCAGAGGUGAAAAGGAUUUUGUUCAAUAAGUAGAGAACUGAAGGGGUGUGGGAGGCACAUGGAUUUGAACGAGAGCCCUCUUGGCUUGCAGGCAGAUGCUCUACCUUGAGUUGCACCCUUCGCUUGCCAGAACUGUCUCUGAUAAGUGCCUGUGCAGCCACAUCAACACCUCAGUUUCUUCUUGGUCAGUCCACAGGAACAGCCCCACUGCAGACAACCCAUUCAUGCUCUCCUCUUUCCUCUAAACCCCAGCCCCCUUCAACCUGGCAAUCCACAGGCCUACAGCUUCUCCUCUCAAUGGGAAAGACAUCAGCUUGGAAAGCCAUUAACAUUAUCCUAGAAAGGCUUUUUAAAUGACCCAAUAGGACAAGUCCUCAGAUGGCCUUGGCCAACCCAGUGCUUCCUUCUUUUCUUGGUUGUAGUUCUCAGAAUAACUGGAGAAUGUGCUGGGAGUGCUGUGUCCUGAGAUAAGGAGGAACUAUCCUAAACCCGAACUCUGUUCCCAUCACACCUAGAACAGGACGCCCUACAGCACUUUAGCCCAAUGAUCCAAAUUGCCAUUGGGGUAGAAAACCAAGAGCAGAGGCUGUUCAGGGUCCCUCAGCUGCAGUGUGAAGUGGGACACACAUAGGUGAGACUCCCAUCUGCCCUGGGCAGCUUCCUGAGCCUUGGGGGACCAGCUCACCCUCAAUCCCAGGCUUCUGUUGUCCUUUGCCUGUCUGAGGAAUAAAGUUGCUUUGCUUAA